UAGUCCUGGCCGUAAACGGUGAACACUAGAUGUCGGGGGUAUCGACCCCCUCGGUGUCGGAGCUAACGCAUUAAGUGUUCCGCCUGGGGAGUACGACCGCAAGGUUGAAACUCAAAGGAAUUGCCGGGUCCCCGCACAAGCGGUGGAGGAUGCGGUUUAAUUCGACGCAACGCGAAGAACCUUACCAGGGCUUAAACAGCAGGGUAAACCCUUCGAAAGAAGGGCUGCUUCGGCAAUCCUGUAGAGGUGCUGCAUGGCAGUCGUCAGCUCGUGUCGUGAGAUGUUGGGUUAAAGUCCCGUCAACGAGCGCAACCCUUGUCUUUAGUUGCCAGCGCGUAAUGGCGGGAACUCUAGAGAGACUGCCGCCGUAAGGCGAGGAAGUGGGGAUGACGUCAUAGUCCUCAUGGCCCUUAUGUCCUGGGCUACACGCGUCCUACAAUGGUCGGUACAGCGAGUCGCAAUACCGCGAGGUGGAGCUAAUCUCACAAAGCCGGCCCCAGUUCGGAUUGUAGUCUGCAACUCGACUAC
rnacentral:rRNA from 1 species